CCUACGGGGGGCUGCAGUCGAGAAUCAUUCACAAUGGGGGAAACCCUGAUGGUGCGACGCCGCGUGGGGGAAUGAAGGUCUUCGGAUUGUAAACCCCUGUCAUGUGGGAGCAAAUUAAAAAGAUAGUACCACAAGAGGAAGAGACGGCUAACUCUGUGCCAGCAGCCGCGGUAAUACAGAGGUCUCAAGCGUUGUUCGGAAUCACUGGGCGUAAAGCGUGCGUAGGCUGUUUCGUAAGUCGUGUGUGAAAGGCGCGGGCUCAACCCGCGGACGGCACAUGAUACUGCGAGACUAGAGUAAUGGGGGGGGAACCGGAAUCCUCGGUGUAGCAGUGAAAUGCGUAGAGAUCGAGAGGAACACUCGGGGCGAAGGGGGGUGCCGGGACAUUAACGGACGCGGGGGCACGAAGGCCAGGGGAGGGAAAGGGAUUAGAUACCCGGGUAGUC
rnacentral:rRNA from 1 species